UACGAAGGGGGCGAGCGUUGUUCGGAUUUACUGGGCGUAAAGGGCGCGCAGGCGGCAGACCAAGUCAGGCGUGAAAGCCCCGGGCUUAACCUGGGAACUGCGUCUGGGACUGGUUUGCUAGAGAUCGGGAGAGGAGAGUGGAAUUCCUGGUGUAGCGGUGAAAUGCGUAGAUAUCUGGAGGAACACCGGUGGCGAAGGCGACGUCCUGGACCGGCAUUGACGCUGAGGCACGAAGGUCAGGGGAGCAAACGGG
rnacentral:rRNA from 1 species